rnacentral:rRNA from 1 species
AUUGAACGCUGGCGGCAAGCCUAACACAUGCAAGUCGAACGAGUGGCGGACGGGUGAGUAAUGUCUGGGAAACUGCCUGAUGGAGGUGGAUAACUACUGGAAAAGGUAGCUAAUACCGCCUACCAUCGGAUGUGCCCAGAUGGGAUUAGCUAGUAGGUGGGGGAAAGGCUCACCUCGGCGACGCUCCCUAGCUGGUCUGAGAGGAUGCCCAGCCACACUGGAACGUAGACACUGUCCAUACUCCUACGGGAGGCAGCAGUGGGGAAUAUUGCACAAUGGGCGCAAGCCUGAUGCAGCCAUGCCGCGUGUAUGAAGAAGGCCUUCGGGUUGUAAAGUACUUUCAGCGGGGAGGCGUUACCCGCAGAAGAAGCACCGGCUAACUCCGUGCCAGCAGCCGCGGUAAUUC